UUUGCUUUAACAUUAAGAUGUUCAGAUACCAUAACUUAGUAUAACGGACAUUGUGAAGUAACAUAGUAUCACCUUAAGCUUUUUCAGAAUGUUUAUAUCACCGUGCAGCGCCAUGACAACGUCCACGACAUACUCUUUACCAUAUUACCACAACUUAUUUUCUCGGUCGCAAACCAAUGAUGGAAAGAAAAUCCACGCAACCACGUAUGUUACCGAGAUAGGAACGAUAUCUAGUCCAGUGGCUGGUGCACCGUCAGUCAUUCAGGUCAAAGGUCAAGGCUUUAAAUCCAAGCUCGAGGAAAACGGCGACAAGGACAUAGUGAAUAGUAGCAGCAAGCGAUGCGGCGAACACAUGAACAAGCUGUUACUUAUGAAGAAAGACUCUAACUUAUCUUAUCAAAGAAAGCAUGACAAUGACAAAGAUGGAGUGGAAAAUUAUAGCAUUGUUUUAAAUGAGACGAGCUCCUUAAAUACAUGUUUGAUCGAAAGUACAAAAUCUAAACUAGGCAAAGCAGGUUAGUCCGAUAAAUCGAUCAGUGUGGAAAGUCCUGAACAAAAUAGUAUAACUAAUGUUGCACGAAGUCAGAAACAUACUAAGGUACGUGCGCCUAAACGUGAUCCUCAGUCAUCUGAUAUGUCAUCUAUUAUAACUAUAGCGAGGUUACAUUCCCCUAGCAACAAGAAAACUGUAUCUGAUUGUUAUGGCUCUGAAAAGACGAAGAUUCAAUCAACCGAAAAUGAGAACGGAAAAAAUUUGCAUGUUCAAGAAGUUGAAGAAACAGAAAAAGAUGGUAACGUACCAAAACAUGAAGUCCCUUUGUCAAUUAUUGAUAUGUCUGAUGUGAUAACAGUGUCAGAUACUGAAGAUAAAGACAAAGAGCAGAAGAGAGAUCAGUUGAAGAUAACACAUAUAUCACAAUUGUUCGACUUUAAAUCUAAGCAGAAUAAUGGAAGACAGACGAAGAUCGUUCGACCUAUUCCAGUGUCGGCCGUGAAACCAGAAUCACCAGCGAAAGACGGCAAAUCAGACAGUCACCAGGUAACCAGGAUACAGAGAAAACUAUGUUGGGUCAAAGCAGCAAAGCAGACACACCGACACAGAGUUGUGGUAUACCGAUAGGCAUCGCUGUUGCGCGACAGAGGUCGAUAGCACCAAAGCUCACCAGCUAUAAGGAAAUUAAGAAGAACGCGAAUGAAAUAAAGCAUAAAAACCCCGUCGCCGAAGUGAAACCUAUGAG